UACGUAGGGUGCGAGCGUUAAUCGGAAUUACUGGGCGUAAAGCGUGCGCAGGCGGUUCGUUAAGUUCGUUGUGAAAGCCCCGGGCUCAACCUGGGAACUGCAAUGGAAACUGGCGGGCUUGAGUGUGGCAGAGGGGGGUGGAAUUCCAGGUGUAGCGGUGAAAUGCGUAGAUAUCUGGAGGAACACCGGUGGCGAAGGCGGCAUCCUGGACCGGCAUUGACGCUGAGGCGCGAAAGCCAGGGGAGCAAACGGG
rnacentral:rRNA from 1 species